rnacentral:tRNA from 1 species
ACUUCUAUAGCCCAACGGUAGAGGCAGCGGAUUCAAGUCCCGUUAAGUGCAGGUUCGAAUCCUGCUAGAAGUA